UCCGUAUCUAUAAUGAAUACA
ensembl:piRNA 21ur-4601 ncRNA